rnacentral:rRNA from 1 species
UGGGGAAUAUUGCACAAUGGGCGCAAGCCUGAUGCAGCCAUGCCGCGUGUGUGAAGAAGGCCUUCGGGUUGUAAAGCACUUUCAGCGAGGAGGAAGGGUAGUGUGUUAAUAGCACAUUGCAUUGACGUUACUCGCAGAAGAAGCACCGGCUAACUCCGUGCCAGCAGCCGCGGUAAUACGGAGGGUGCAAGCGUUAAUCGGAAUUACUGGGCGUAAAGCGCACGCAGGCGGUUUGUUAAGUCAGAUGUGAAAUCCCCGCGCUUAACGUGGGAACUGCAUUUGAAACUGGCAAGCUAGAGUCUUGUAGAGGGGGGUAGAAUUCCAGGUGUAGCGGUGAAAUGCGUAGAGAUCUGGAGGAAUACCGGUGGCGAAGGCGACCCCCUGGACAAAGACUGACGCUCAGGUGCGAAAGCGUGGGGAGCAAACA